rnacentral:lncRNA from 1 species
AAUAUUUGUCUUUUUGAAAACUCGUGUCCUACUACUAGCAGAUAUAUAUCAAAGUAAUUAAUACCCCAAAUUAAAGUAAAAAUUUUAAGAUGCCUUAUUACAUAGCAAAUACCCAAAUUAAAUAGCUUAAAGGAUACAAGUCUAAAAAAAUAACAAAAUUAGUUAUGUGGCCUUCAUCGAGUCCCUCGCAGACUUGCACAGGAAAACAGAAGGGUGAAUUUAUGAAAACUCAGUGUGUAAUCC